ensembl:misc_RNA
AUGAUGGCAUUGGAAGCUAAAGUCCUCUGUUUAUCCACAGAACAAGUACUGCACAGGAAGUAGUUGUGUAAGUUUCCACAUACUGGCAUCACUGAGCCUCAGACUGUUCUAGAGGGGCCAGCACAAGGAUGAAAAGAAAUGAGUCUGAUUGUAAUAUUCAGGGAAUGGAAACA